rnacentral:rRNA from 1 species
CAGUCGCCGCGGUAAUACAGAGGGUGCAAGCGUUAAUCGGAAUUACUGGGCGUAAAGCGCGCGUAGGUGGUUUGUUAAGUUGGAUGUGAAAUCCCCGGGCUCAACCUGGGAACUGCAUCCAAAACUGGCAAGCUAGAGUAUGGUAGAGGGUGGUGGAAUUUCCUGUGUAGCGGUGAAAUGCGUAGAUAUAGGAAGGAACACCAGUGGCGAAGGCGACCACCUGGACUGAUACUGACACUGAGGUGCGAAAGCGUGGGGAGCAAACAGGAUUAGAUACCCGAGUAGUCCCUGUCUCUUAUAC